rnacentral:ribozyme from 14 species
CUUUUUCUUCUUCUUCUUCUUCUUCUCCUUUUUCUUUUUCUUCUUCUUU